rnacentral:sRNA from 1 species
AAGACUCAUUAUUUCUCUCUAGUGUUAAAGGUAUGUGUGUAUAUGUAUGUACUGCUUUCCAGGCGGAGCAGGCAGGUACUGCUAUGAACAUCAGCGUUCCCCAGGUGCAGCUGAUCAACCCAGAGAACCAAAUUGUGGAGCCGGAUGGGACACUGAAUUUGGACAGUGAUGAGGGUGAAGAGCCUUCCCCGGAAGCAUUGGUGCGCUAUUUGUCAAUGAGGAGGCACACAGUGGGUGUGGCUGACCCACGCACGGAAGUUAUGGAAG